CGUAGGCGGUUCGGUAAGUGGGAUGUGAAAGCCCCGGGCUCAACCUGGGAAUUGCAUUCCAAACUGCCGAGCUAGAGUAUGGUAGAGGGAGGUAGAAUUUCCUGUGUAGCGGUGAAAUGCGUAGAUAUAGGAAGGAAUACCAGUGGCGAAGGCGGCCUCCUGGACCAAUACUGACGCUGAGGUGCGAAAGCGUGGGGAGCAAACA
rnacentral:rRNA from 1 species